UCCUCCCUCAAACCUCGGGUUUGGUGUUGGACCGCGUGGGGGACUUCUUUCCCCCACUGGUCUCAAAGACAAUGACGGCGUCCGUGGGACCCUCUUCGCACUGAGCUUUCCGGAGCACGCGUGGAGUUUCAAGGCCCCAGGGACCCGGUCACCUCAUCAUUAUUUUUCA
rnacentral:misc_RNA from 1 species